rnacentral:rRNA from 1 species
AUUGAACGCUGGCGGCAUGCCUUACACAUGCAAAUCGAACGGUAACGGGCCUUCGGGUGCCGACGAGUGGCGAACGGGUGAGUAAUACAUCGGAACGUGCUCGAUCGUGGGGGAUAACGAGGCGAAAGCUUUGCUAAUACCGCAUACGAUCUACGGAUGAAAGCAGGGGACCGCAAGGCCUUGCGCGGACGGAGCGGCCGAUGGCAGAUUAGGUAGUUGGUGGGAUAAAAGCUUACCAAGCCGACGAUCUGUAGCUGGUCUGAGAGGAUGAUCAGCCACACUGGGACUGAGACACGGCCCAGACUCCUACGGGAGGCAGCAGUGGGGAAUUUUGGACAAUGGGCGCAAGCCUGAUCCAGCCAUGCCGCGUGCAGGAUGAAGGCCUUCGGGUUGUAAACUGAUUUUGUACGGAACGAAAAGCCUUCUUUUAAUACAGGAGGGUCAUGACGGUACCGUAAGAAUAAGCACCGGCUAACUACGUG